ACACUGCCUAUUAUUUGCCUUUUGAUACCCUUUCUACAAUGACAUGUUUGUGCAUUUGCUUUAUUAAUAAUGUUUUACAUGUUGGCAGACUUCAAAUAUAUAGUACAUGUUAGCAGACUAAUAUAUGUACAAUUAUUAAAAUGAUUGCUUUUUAACAGACAGAGGCAAUAAUAGAAAGAGUGUAUGAAGUCACACAACUGGCUAGAGAUUCCAUGGAGAAUACGUCCUACAUUCUGGACGUUAUGACCCCUGAGGUAACCCUCAUUAUUCUCCACAAGACUGAGGGCUUUCACAGGUACCAGGGAGAAAUGGCAUUACAGUCAAACAUUUCUUUGGAGGUGCAAUGUACUAAUCCACCAUGGUUCUAAUUGAACGUCAGCAAGAAUCUUUUCCCAACCCUUUUUGAGGAGAUGGGAUUUCAUAAAUAGGUUUCAUGUUACAUAUGUAAAAUGUUAUGUAAGACAUGUAAAAUAUUAUAGUAUCAUUGUAUGUUACUGCUGUAAC